rnacentral:rRNA from 1 species
AAUUCUGUGUGCACGAUGACGGUCUUAGGAUUGUAAAGUGCUUUCAAUCGGGAAAAAGAAAGUGAUGGUACCGAUAGAAGAAGCGACGGCUAAAUACGUGCCAGCAGCCGCGGUAAUACGUAUGUCGCAAGCGUUAUCCGGAUUUAUUGGGCGUAAAGCGCGUCUAGGCGGUUUGGUAAGUCUGAUGUGGAAAUGCGGGGCUCAACUCCGUAUUGCGUUGGAAACUGCCAGACUAGAGUACUGGAGAGGUGGGCGGAACUACAAGUGUAGAGGUGAAAUUCGUAGAUAUUUGUAGGAAUGCCGAUAGAGAAGUCAGCUCACUGGACAGAUACUGACACUGAAGCGCGAAAGCAUGGGG